CAUUUACUUCAGACGGCCU
rnacentral:misc_RNA from 1 species